UCCCUGGUGGUCUAGUGGUUUGGAUGCGGCGCUUUCAACACUACGGCCCGGGUUCGAUCCCCGGUCAGGGAA